rnacentral:rRNA from 1 species
ACCAGACUCCUACGGGAGGCAGCAGUGGGGGAUAUUGCACAAUGGGGGGAACCCUGAUGCAGCGACGCCGCGUGGGUGAAGAAGCGCCUCGGCGCGUAAAGCCCUGUCAGCAGGGAAGAAAAUGACGGUACCUGAAGAAGAAGCCCCGGCUAACUACGUGCCAGCAGCCGCGGUAAUACGUAGGGGGCAAGCGUUAUCCGGAUUUACUGGGUGUAAAGGGGGCGCAGACGGCGAUGCAAGCCAGGAGUGAAAGCCCGGGGCCCAACCCCGGGACUGCUCUUGGAACUGCGUGGCUGGAGUGCAGGAGGGGCAGGCGGAAUUCCUGGUGUAGCGGUGAAAUGCGUAGAUAUUAGGAGGAACACCAGUGGCGAAGGCGGCCUGCUGGACGACAACUGACGGUGAGGCGCGAAAGCGUGGGGAGCAAACAGGAUUAGAUACCCCUGUA